rnacentral:rRNA from 1 species
CCUACGGGGGGCAGCAGUGGGGAAUAUUGGACAAUGGGGGCAACCCUGAUCCAGCCAUGCCGCGUGUGUGAAGAAGGCCCGCGGGUUGUAAAGCACUUUCAGUGAGGAAGAACGCCUGGUGGUUAAUACCCAUCAGGAAAGACAUCACUCACAGAAGAAGCACCGGCUAACUCCGUGCCAGCAGCCGCGGUAAUACGGAGGGUGCGAGCGUUAAGCGGAAUUACUGGGCGUAAAGCGCGCGUAGGUGGCUUGAUAAGCCGGUUGUGAAAGCCCCGGGCUCAACCUGGGAACGGCAUCCGGAACUGUCAAGCUAGAGUGCAGGAGAGGAAGGUAGAAUUCCCGGUGUAGCGGUGAAAUGCGUAGAGAUAGGGAGGAAUACCAGUGGCGAAGGCGGCCUUCUGGACUGACACUGACACUGAGGUGCGAAAGCGUGGGUAGCAAACAGGAUUAGAUACCCUAGUAGUC